rnacentral:rRNA from 1 species
AUUGAACGCUGGCGGCAUGCCUUACACAUGCAAGUCGAACGGCAGCACGGGAGCAAUCCUGGUGGCGAGUGGCGAACGGGUGAGUAAAGUAUCGGAACGUGCCCAGUCGUGGGGGAUAACGUAGCGAAAGUUACGCUAAUACCGCAUACGAUCUAUGGAGGAAAGCGGGGGAUCGCAAGACCUCGCGCGAUUGGAGCGGCCGAUAUCAGAUUAGGUAGUUGGUGGGGUAAAGGCUCACCAAGCCGACGAUCUGUAGCUGGUCUGAGAGGACGACCAGCCACACUGGGACUGAGACACGGCCCAGACUCCUACGGGAGGCAGCAGUGGGGAAUUUUGGACAAUGGGCGAGAGCCUGAUCCAGCCAUGCCGCGUGCAGGAUGAAGGCCUUCGGGUUGUAAACUGCUUUUGUACGGAACGAAAAGGUUUGGGCUAAUAAGCUGAGCUCAUGACGGUACCGUAAGAAUAAGCACCGGCUAACUACGUGCCAGCCGCCGCCGUAA